rnacentral:pre_miRNA from 1 species
GUAGUACUCCCUCCGUCCCAAAAUUCUUGUCUUACAUUUGUUUAGAUACGAAUGUAUCUAACACUAAAAUGUAACUAGAUACAUCCAUAUUUAGACAAAUUUAAGACAAGAAUUUUGACGGAGGGAGUACAAA